rnacentral:rRNA from 1 species
UACGAAGGGUGCUAGCGUUGUUCGGAAUUACUGGGCGUAAAGCGCGCGUAGGCGGCUAUUCAAGUCAGGGGUGAAAUCCCACAGCUUAACUGUGGAACUGCCUUUGAAACUGUAUAGCUAGAGUGUCGGAGGGGAUAGCGGAAUUGCUAAUGUAGAGGUGAAAUUCGUAGAUAUUAGCAGGAACACCGGUGGCGAAGGCGGCUAUCUGGACGACAACUGACGCUGAGGCGCGAAAGCGUGGGUAUCAAACAGG